GACGAACGCUGGCGGCGUGCUUAACACAUGCAAGUCGAACGGAAAGGCCCUGCUUUUGUGGGGUGCUCGAGUGGCGAACGGGUGAGUAACACGUGAGUAACCUGCCCUUGACUUUGGGAUAACUUCAGGAAACUGGGGCUAAUACCGGAUAGGAGCUCCUGCUGCAUGGUGGGGGUUGGAAAGUUUCGGCGGUUGGGGAUGGACUCGCGGCUUAGCAGCUUGUUGGUGGGGUAGUGGCUUACCAAGGCUUUGACGGGGAGCCGGCCUGAGAGGGUGACCGGCCACAUUGGGACGGAGAUACGGCCCAGACGCCGACGGGAGGCAGGAGUGGGGAAUAGUGGACAAAGGGCGGAAGCCUGAGGCAGCAACGCCGGGUGCGGGAUGACGGCCUUCGGGUUGUAAACCGCUUUCGCCUGUGACGAAGCGGGAGUGACGGUAAUGGGUAAAGAAGCACCGGCUAACUACGUG
rnacentral:rRNA from 1 species